GCCGCUGGGUGGGUCGCUCGGCGAGAAAGCAAGAUGGAGGCGUAUGCCGGCACAUGCGCGUCGCGACCAGUCGAUAAUGUGGCGGGAACGCCAAGCGUUCAAACGACGCGGCCGCGCGACGAUGAUUCGAGUAGCGCAUGAUUUUCUCAGAUUAGAUCGGCCGAGUCAGCACGUCAUUCAGCCGCUGCGAAGAUCUCGAUCUCGGCUCCACCGAGCCGUCCGAUCGAGGCCGCUAGGCUCGUUGUUGCUGUAACAAAGCGUUCGUUUGGUUGACAAUUACGCGCACGUAAUCCGCACGUCGGGUCCAACUUGGCGGUGGUGUUGUACGCGAUAGAAUGUGUUUAUCUGUAUUUGCGGAUCAAUAGAUUCCUCAAGAACCUAUAUGCACGAGAUAUAAUUACGGAGAGAGUAACCAAGGGUGCAGCGGUGUUACUAUCGUCGACGAAUCGUCGGCGGAAAUCUCUCCGAGCCCGACCGCUCGCAUGCACGAGCGACGGUGGAACGUCCCGUAUAAAAUUAUCGUCAACUUUGCUAGUAGCAUAAAAAUUCCGGCAAUUUCUCCGAACAACGUCCUCCCGAUACGCAUGGUAAAGUUAAUCGCUUAAAGAUGCGUCCGUGACGCUCGACUCGGUGAAUUACGCAAAAUUCGCCGACCCGGGACGGUUCCGGGUUGAGCUCGAGAGCGAGAGAGGAAGGGAGGGAGGGAAGGAGGGCGAGAGAGAGAGAGAGAGAGAGAGAGAGAGAGAGAGAGAGAGAGAAUAUAUCCCGAGGAAGUUCGUAAAAAUUCGGGGUGCGACUGCUUCCCCCUAAUUAGAGGAGUUUUCCUGUCCUUUGUGUCGACUUGGAUGGCUCUCCCCGUCGACGAAAGAUACCUCGCUCGGACCGUUGGACGAAUCAAUGACGGAGAGUGAGAAUUGCUCGCUGCAGUAAAUUGAUCCGCCGAACCUACGCAAGAAAUCGAAGGCGUGUCGAGAGAGGAGAGCGGAACGAGAAGGCGGAACGGAAGAAGGAGGAGAACAGGGGGAUGAGAGGAUGAAGACGGAAGAAGACUGCGGAGAGCCGAGCAAGCCGUAGCUGAGAACGGUCGAGGUGGCAGCGGAACAGCGUCGAGCACAAGUUGAAAUGUCUGCAUCUAUGACAAAAUCAACAACCUGUAGAUACGAGGCGGUACGCCAACGAUGAGGAGUCCUUCGGAACUCGUCUGCCGAAGAGGCCGAAUAUGAAGUGACGAAUCUGACCUUCGGUGUGACCGGGGGUCGGCAGUACCGCCAAGUGAUGCCUGCCGAAUCGGACCUGAUCGAACGGCUCCAGGAGUACAUCG